CAUUCACCUUCUCACAUGCUCACACAUGCCCACGUGGCCCCUCAAGGAGCCACACUAUAGCCCCACCAUGAAUGGCCCUACAUCGGGCCAGAAGUGGAUGCACAGCUCAAUGAGCUAAGUCUUCUCAAGAGUUGCCAUCUGGAUUCUGUUUCUCUUCUUGUGUAUAUACAUGUAGAAAUCUCUUCAGUAUAGCAUGUCCCACAUGCCCUUUGGGAGGCUUCUGAAGCGCGGGCGCUGCCCGCCCUUCUCCGGGAUGUUAAACUUAUACAUACACAUGCCCACAGAAUGCUCCCGCUCUCCUCACAAUCCACUCCACAAUUGUGUAGUCUCUAAUAAUUCCUUCAUAUAAUCUUUAACAUUCUUUCACUCUGUGCUUCAUCAUAGUGUGAUCUCUGAUAUUUCUUCAUUCUGAUUCCUUUUCUAUAAGAACUCUCUUUAUACAAUCUUUUCUUCUGCUCUCUUUUCUCUUUUUUUUUCUUAAUCAAUUUGUAAUCUGUAUUGAAACAGUGUUUGGUCUGUUUGUACACCUGUUGCAGAUGGUACAAAUGGUACAAUCUGCAACAUUGGCUUAAUUGAUAGCACGCCCGUUACAUUCUUCAUCUACUUAUAUACCUAUACAUUGCAAUAAAAAUCUUCUUUUUAAAAUUUCAGUUUACAAUUAUAUAGUCUACUAAUAUAUUUCCACCUCAUAAUUUUUUAUUAUCGCAAAAUUUUGGAUAUUCUUUUAUUUUCUUUUCUUCUUUUUUCGAAUAAUGGAGGUGAAAGGUUGAUUCAUUGUAACUAUCUAAAGGGCGCAGCAAGCAACAAAGACAUCAAAGCUUCUGAGUAUAAAAGCUCAAAACAUUAUAUAUAACCGACCUGACUAUUAUAUACAAAUUUUAUUUUAUACUUUUAUCAAAUCUCAUUAUUUAUUAAUUUUUUUUCAACUUUUUUAACCAUCUGUAAGCGGCGGGUGAAAGAUCUCGCUGCUUAUAUCACAAGAGGUUCUUAGGACUUUACAAGGAUCAAGCUAUAGAAGAUAAUACGGUGAUAUAUCGAAAGAGAUUCAGAUUGAAUGAUCAGAUAUCGAGGUUGUAGAAUGUAGAGGUCAGAUUAUUUCAGAAUAAUCCACUGACCUCUAGAAGCUUGGGCUAGCUGCUAGUUAUAUACACACAGUAUCACAGGCAGAUCGAACUUGAUAUGAUGCAAGUGGCAUGAUAAUGCUUUGAUUUCAAACCCGAUAUGAUGCUGAUGGCCCCAUGUCCCGAAAUGCCAUCUUGUAAAGUGAUCUAGUGUUGGAAUCUUAGUACGGGU
rnacentral:sRNA from 2 species